rnacentral:rRNA from 1 species
UACGAAGGGGGCUAGCGUUGUUCGGAAUUACUGGGCGUAAAGCGUAUGCAGGCGGAUUGUUAAGUCAGGGGUGAAAUCCUGAGGCUCAACCUCAGAACUGCCUUUGAUACUGGCAAUCUUGAGUCCGGGAGAGGUUAGUGGAACUGCGAGUGUAGAGGUGAAAUUCGUAGAUAUUCGCAAGAACACCAGUGGCGAAGGCGGCUAGCUGGCCCGGUACUGACGCUGGGAUACGAAAGCGUGGGGAGCAAACAGG